CAUUAUGAAGCUAAGAGCGUUAGCCUUUUAAGCUAAAGUUAGGGAGGGGUCCCCAUCCCCAUAAUGA